AUUUUCAGUGUUCCUAUCCUAAAGAUCCCAACAAGUAAGGAAACAAACACGGAAACCGCCGAGUGUUCGAUCCUGACUUUGAGCUGCAGCUUCUGACGGGAAGCUUUCUGAGCGGCACUUUCACUUCUCAUCUAGCACCAUCUACUGCCCGCGGCGGGCAGGACCCGGCGCCGCUGCCCAGCCCCGGCUGGAGAAGCGCGGGGAGCCGCGGAGCUGGGCACGGGCCCUGCCCCUCACCGAGCUGGGCACGGCCCCGUACCCUCACCGAGCUGGGCACGGGUCCUGCCCCGCACCGAGCUGAGCACGGCCCCGUACCCUCACCGAGCUGGGCACGGGUCCCGCCCCGCACCGAGCUGAGCACGGGCCCGCACCCUCACCGAGCUGGGCACGGGCCUCUCACCGCACCGAGCUGGCACGGGCCCGCACUCUCACUGAGCUGGGGACGGGCUCUGCCCCACACCGAGAUAGGCACGGGCCCCUUCCCGCACCGAGCCCGUCGCCGCUGCAACACCAGCUCGAACUUUGCGUGCUGAUCCAGAUGCAUCCAGAUUUCAAAGACUCUGCUCCGACAGUUACAAGCACAAAGCACCUGUUUUCCCAGCAGAUUUCUCUGCUCGUACUUGAAGUUGCUGUCACCUUUGGGUAAGGACUUCUACUUGAAUAAUACCGUAUGAGCUACAGGAAUGCCAUCCAAAGGUGGUGGAAUAUAUACUAUGCAGUUUCACACAAAGUAGAAAAUAAUAGAAAUGAGGAGGUAGAAAGUUCAGUUCAGCUUGAGCUGAUGGCAAGUGAGGAGACGCUAACUACUCACUACCAAAGUACUACAGCUCUGCCUCCCUGGUGCCACAAAGGUGAUUAUAGCUAUCGAUAUGCAUCCCCCACUCUUUUAAAUGAAGACUGAUGGUUUAAAGCAAUGGCUGCUGCCACUUCUUCCAGCAGAAUUAGAGCAGAACAUCCCAGAAAUAUCCCCAGAAGAUGAGAAAUCUGAGUUCAAACCACCUCAGAGUGUGUACAAAAAUUCCUCCAACAUCUUCCAGUUCUGUUUAUACAAAGAUAUUACACAGAAGUCUAUGGGCUAGGAGUACUUCAUUAAAAAAACAAACAAACAAA